UCUGCCACAUUAUAAUGCAGUAAGAAGACCUUCACCAGAUGCAGCCCCUUGACCUUGGACUUCCCAGCCUCCAGAACUGUAAGAAAUACAUUUCUUUUCUUUAUAAAUUACCCAGUCUGUGGUAUUUUGUUCUAGCAACAGAAAAUGAACUAAGACAGAUGCCCAGCACUGCCUGGCAGUCUCCACCCAUCCUCUCAGAUGAAUGAGCUGGCCACUGUCCUAUCAGUCUCAAGAUUCUUUGAGCAUCCUGCAGUGGGUGCAUGAUUAGUUCUCAGGGUCUUCUUUCUGUAGAAGGGCUGGGCAACUCUCUCUUUCUGUUUUCUGUCAGGCCUCACUCUGGUGGAAGACUGCUCAUGCUCAGGCAGGCUUCCUUUCCUUUAUCUUGCUUACCAGGCUCUAGUGUUCCAGGAUCCUGUGGAGCUAUUCCCCAGGGCCCCUCAAAGGGAGAGAACCCUUCCUCUUGAACCAUUCACAGGAGCAGGGCAGCUCAGAGCCAUUACUUGGAACAGCCGGAGAAGCUGGAGGCUGGAUCUCCUGUGGCCACCACAUGAAAUCCCAUGAGGUUGGCAGCCUUGGGGGAAUAACAUGACUUUAUGACCAUGGAUAAUCCCUGAAGACUGUUCUGCUAUCUCCAGAGGAGAAAGACCUCCAACAGCUCUGCACUGCAGCCACCUAAUGGUUCUUCAUGGAUCUGAUGCCUACAUGCUAUCUGCCUGGGUGCCACUGGAGCUCUGAAUUUUACAUACCAGGAGAAGAUUAGGACACCUAGAGAGACACUAGGGGUUCCUUUGCACAGAAGAAAGGCCACAUGAAGAUGGGGACACAGCAAGAAGGCAGCGGCAGCAAGCAAAGGAGAGAGGCCUCUGAGGAAACCAACCCUGCCAAACACCUGCUGCUUGGACUUCUAGCGUCCAGAACUGUGAUGGAAAAAAUCAAGAAUUUGGCACCCUAAACACAACAUGAGAAGGUUUCACUCAGUAAUGGCCUCCUGAAAACAACUUAAUCUUCUUGGACAAGACUCUGAACUGAAAUCAAGGUUUCAAAAUAUUUUGUUGUGAGUGAUGAAGCUGUCUGGACCUAACUUUUCCGAGAGGCCAAGAAACCAUUCUGUAAUCCUGCAAAAUGGUUUCUGAAGAGUCUGGUGAAAUGCAACUGUUAUCCCUCACUUUGCAUUUUGCUCCAACGAUUCUGAGGUGCAACUUAUGGAUGAGACUGAUUUCUUUCCAUAUUGCUGUAGUAAAUUGGUUUUUGUUGUUUUCAUGGGCUUUGUAAAUCUUGCUGAUAAAAUCCAUAAGUGAUUUGCUAACAUAAAAGCUAACUGGAGAAACAUAAAAAAUAAUUCAAAAAUCAUUUCAUCUUAUCAACUGGAUUAAAAUUAAAAUUAUUAGAAAUACUAAUGAUAGUAUUUCUUUCCAGAGUGGUAAUGGAGUUUUUUUCCUUUUUAUUAAUAGCCCUUAAUGUAUCUUAUGGGAACAAUUAAUAGACAUUCUUCAAACUCCUUCAGAAAGCCCAAUGACAAGUGGCAUUUUUACCAGCGAGAUUCUCAGCGAAUAUAUAAUUCUUUGUCAAUAUUCAAAUUAAGGCAGAAACUCUAGAGUCUGAUCUGUAUCUAUUUCAUCUUUUAAAUGUGUUGAAAGGCCUCUGAGUGCAUCUUAAGCAGUUGGUAAAUAUUUUUCAGGUCAUCACAUACAGGAACUGGACCCCAGUUUUUCCUAAAAAAAUAUGUAUGUACAGAUGACAGAAAAAAAAUUGCCUUCAGAAAAUGGAACCCAUGUGCCAAGGCCUGGUCAGUAAAAAAAUCCCUAAUUUUUGCUUGUUUUAUAAUUUGUCUUAGGUUUUCUCUGACACUAGUGGAUUUCUUUUUUAAGGCAGUCAUAGUUCUAAUACUGUUCAGGCCUUGAAAAAUCCAAUCUAGGCUGGAUUAUGGUGGCUCACACUUGUAGUCCCAGCACUUUUGGAGCUCUGGGUAGAAGGAUCGCUUGAGGCCAGGAGUUUGAGACCAGCCUGGGAAACACAGCAAGAACUAUUUCUACAAAAGAUUUUAAAAAAUUAACUGGGCAUGGUGGUUUGCACCUGUAGUCCUAGGUACUUGUGAAGCUGAGGUGGGAGGAUCACUCAAGCCCAGAAGUUGGAGGCUGCAGUGAGCCAUGACUGCACCACUGUACUCCAGCCUGGGUGAUGGUGCAAGACCCCAACUCUAAAAAAAUAAAAAUAAACAGUCUGAUGAAGAGUCUUUUGAUAUUCUUAUUUCUUUCACUAUUCAGCUUUGGCAUCUCUCCCCCAGCACUGCUCUUGUGUUCUAGUGGUGUCAGACAUAAAUACACACACACCGCUUUUCACCAAUGCCUCUACUUCUUGGGUGGCAGAACCUCUUAUUAUACUUCACUGAUGUUCCAGGAGAUUGAAAAACCAGGGAAAUGCAAUUCUUGCCUAUUUAUUUUUAAAGUUUGAAAAUGGUGGACCUGACUGUUACCCCUUAAUUAAUUAUUUAGAAAGGCGACUUUCUCUUUGGAGGUUCCCAAACCCUGUAUUAAACCUCACCACUGCUAAGCACUUAAAUGUUUGCUUACUAAGGAUAAUAUUUUAGGAAGAAAGACAUCAUAUGAAUUCAGGUACCGUAUGCUUGGAUAAUCUUAGAAAUCCCUAUCAGAGCUAACAUUUUUUGACCAACAUUUAUUACGAAAUCUUCCAAAGAGGGUCUAAAAUCAUAGCUGCAACUUUAAACAACAGUGACGAUGCCAAUCUGUAACAAAACUUCUGAUUUUUAUAAUGACCUUCCUCCCUCCCUCCCUUACUUCCUUUUCCAACAAUCUGUAACAAAACUGUUGGUUUUUAUAAUGACCCUUCCUUCCUUUCAUCUGUAACAAAACUGUUGGUUUUUAUAAUGACCCUUCCUUCCUUCCUUCCUUCCUUCCUUCCUCCCUCCCUCCCUCCCUCCCUCCCUCCCUCCCUCCCUCCUUUCCUUUCGAUGGGGUCUCCUUUGUAGCCUAGGCUGGAGUGCACUAGGGUGAUCAUGGCUCAUUGCAGCCUCUGCCUCCUGGGCUCAAGUGAUCCUCCCACCUCAGACUCCAAAGUAGCUAGAACCACAGGUGCACACCACCAUGCCCUGCUAAUUUUUUGUAUUUUUGGUAGAGAGAGUGUUUUUGUGAUGUUGCCCAGGCUAGUCUCAAACUCCUGAGCUCAAGUGAUCCACCUGCCUCGGCCUCCCAAAACUGGGAUUGAUUACAGGUGUGAGCCACCAUGCCUGGCCAUGACAUGUUUUUUAAAAUCAACCUCAGAGAACUAAAUUUAAUAGUAGGAAGAUAUUUUUGAGCAUUUCUCUUUUUAAAAAGAGAAAUUAAAAAACCACACUCACUUCCAUCAUGUUUCCCCUACUCAUUCUUCACUUAGUGACAUAAAACUCAAACAUUUUUAUCAGCACCAUGAGGCUUUAUAAAAGCAGAUCUUAAAAACUCCACUGAGUUUAGGUAAAGAUAACAGUAUGGAGAAAUAAGUCAGAGCUGAAUUCCUAAGAAGAGAAAGAGC
rnacentral:lncRNA from 1 species